GAGAGUAGUGAUCUUUGCAAUGCUACUCAUCUGCUGUUUUAGAAAUCGGAUAAGUCAGGGUGCCAGAAGAAGCAGGGAUCCAGUGACUUCUCCAGAGGAGAAGCCAAGCUACCAAGGGGUUUGAGUACCAUAGGGUAGGGGUAUUGGGAGCACGAGUGCCCAGAGAUCUCGCUGGAGAUCUUUGAGCAUUUAUAUAUCUUGUUCUACCAGCCUGGAUUCAUUGACAUAGAAGCAACAUUGUUCCCCCAGCAAAACACAUGUCCCUCCCUGUUCAGCAGUCAGUAAGUUCGGGGCCCUCUGGUUUUGGAGAACAACUCCUGCUAAGGAGGCUGUUUGGUGUUGAAGACACACAAAGCUGUCUGCAGUGGAAGUCAUUGUCUGGUCCUGGAAGUCACUGUCCAGAUGGUGUGUUUGGGUGAGGGCUGUUCCAGCAGUCCCUGUGGUGCCCAGUGAGACAGCGAGUUCAAUGAGCAGAGGGAUGAAGAUCUCUCUUGUCUUUCAGUCUCCUCCUAGCUAUAAGGGUGACUGAACAGAGCUGCAGCAAAGCCAAGAAAAACAGAACAACAAAGCCAG
rnacentral:lncRNA from 1 species